rnacentral:lncRNA from 1 species
GAACAGAACAGAACAGAACAGAACAGAACAGAACAGAACAGAGCCCCUCAGUGAUUAAGCAGAAAAGCUGACCUAAAAGAGUAACUCUGAAACCAUCUAGCAGGUAUUAUUCUUGCUCUUCAAACAAUGGAGAAAUGAGCAUGGUAAGAGAAACAGGAAAGAGACGGGCACCGGCAACUCACAGACAGUUCGUGAAGGAGCAAGUAUCUUCAAAGUAAGGUUGCUGACUUGCCAACCACAGUGCUCUGGACAGAAGGCUCAAGUGCGGAUGAGUGAGCAAAACCCAUGCA